UCCAGCAGUUGUCAGCUGUCUUCUCAGUACCGUGUCUGUAACAGUAAUGCACUGCUGGGAGAGAAAGAUACUACAUUUAACCUGUCUGUCAUUGUCCUCGUUUUGAAGGCAGUGAAAACAGUGUGUGGCAAUACGCUGCUCUGAGAGUGUGCUGAGCAGCUGCCAUCCCGUUCAGCACUAGAAUGGAAGCAUACACA